AUUGAACGCUGGCGGCAUGCCUUACACAUGCAAGUCGAACGGCAGCACGGACUUCGGUCUGGUGGCGAGUGGCGAACGGGUGAGUAAUGUAUCGGAACGUACCAUUCAGUGGGGGAUAACGUAGCGAAAGUUACGCUAAUACCGCAUAUUCUCUCCGGAGGAAAGCAGGGGACCGCAAGGCCUUGCGCUGAUUGAGCGGCCGAUAUCAGAUUAGCUAGUUGGUGGGGUAACGGCUCACCAAGGCGACGAUCUGUAGCGGGUCUGAGAGGAUGAUCCGCCACACUGGAACUGAGACACGGUCCAGACUCCUACGGGAGGCAG
rnacentral:rRNA from 1 species